GGUAAUUCCAGCUCCAAUAGCGUAUCUUAAAGUUGCUGCAGUUAAAAAGCUCGUAGUUGGACCUCGGGAUCGAGCUGACGGUCCGCCGCGAGGCGAGCUACCGUCUGUCCCAGCCCCUGCCUCUCUCCGCGCCCUCGAUGCUCUUAGCUGAGUGUCCCGCGGGGGCCGAAGCGUUUACUUUGAAAAAAUUAGAGUGUUCAAAGCAGGCCCGGUCGUCUGAAUACCGCAGCUAGGAAUAAUGGAAUAGGUCUCCGGUUCUAUUUUGUGGGUUUCUCUCUCUGAACUGGGGCCAUGAUUAAGAGGGACGGCCGGGGGCAUUCGUAUUGUGCCGCUAGAGGUGAAAUACUUGGACCGGCGCAAGACGGACGAAAGCGAAAGCAUUUGCCAAGAAUGUUUUCAUUAAUCAAGAACGAAAGUCGGAGGUUCGACGACGAUCAGAUACC
rnacentral:rRNA from 1 species